UACGGGGGGGGCAAGCGUUGUUCGGAAUUACUGGGCGUAAAGGGGACGUAGGCGGCCAACUAAGUCCGACGUGAAAUCCCAAGGCUUAACCUUGGAACUGCGUCGGAUACUGGAUGGCUUGAAUUCGGGAGAGGGAUGCAGAAUUCCAGGUGUAGCGGUGAAAUGCGUAGAUAUCUGGAGGAAUACCGGUGGCGAAGGCGGCAUCCUGGACCGACAUUGACGCUGAGGAGCGAAAGCGUGGGGAGCGAACAGG
rnacentral:rRNA from 1 species